GGUUGCUUGGUGUAAUGGUCAGCACAUCAGAUUCUGACAGGAGAUUCUGGGGAUAUUGGUUCGAUUCCUAUAGCGACCU